AAAUUGAAGAGUUUGAUCAUGGCUCAGAUUGAACGCUGGCGGCAGGCCUAACACAUGCAAGUCGAACGGUAGCACAGAGAGCUUGCUCUCGGGUGACGAGUGGCGGACGGGUGAGUAAUGUCUGGGAAACUGCCCGAUGGAGGGGGAUAACUACUGGAAACGGUAGCUAAUACCGCAUAAUGUCGCAAGACCAAAGAGGGGGACCUUCGGGCCUCUUGCCAUCGGAUGUGCCCAGAUGGGAUUAGCUUGUUGGUGAGGUAAUGGCUCACCAAGGCGACGAUCCCUAGCUGGUCUGAGAGGAUGACCAGCCACACUGGAACUGAGACACGGUCCAGACUCCUACGGGAGGCAGCAGUGGGGAAUAUUGCACAAUGGGCGCAAGCCUGAUGCAGCCAUGCCGCGUGUAUGAAGAAGGCCUUCGGGUUGUAAAGUACUUUCAGCGGGGAGGAAGGCAAUGCGGUUAAUAACCGUGUUGAUUGACGUUACCCGCAGAAGAAGCACCGGCUAACUCCGUGCCAGCAGCCGCGGUAAUACGGAGGGUGCAAGCGUUAAUCGGAAUUACUGGGCGUAAAGCGCACGCAGGCGGUCUGUCAAGUCGGAUGUGAAAUCCCCGGGCUCAACCUGGGAACUGCAUUCGAAACUGGCAGGCUUGAGUCUUGUAGAGGGGGGUAGAAUUCCAGGUGUAGCGGUGAAAUGCGUAGAGAUCUGGAGGAAUACCGGUGGCGAAGGCGGCCCCUGGACAAAGACUGACGCUCAGGUGCGAAAGCGUGGGGAGCAAACAGGAUUAGAUACCCUGGUAGUCCACGCCGUAAACGAUGUCGACUUGGAGGUUGUGCCCUUGAGGCGUGGCUUCCGGAGCUAACGCGUUAAGUCGACCGCCUGGGGAGUACGGCCGCAAGGUUAAAACUCAAAUGAAUUGACGGGGGCCCGCACAAGCGGUGGAGCAUGUGGUUUAAUUCGAUGCAACGCGAAGAACCUUACCUGGUCUUGACAUCCACGGAAUUUGGCAGAGAUGCCUUAGUGCCUUCGGGAACCGUGAGACAGGUGCUGCAUGGCUGUCGUCAGCUCGUGUUGUGAAAUGUUGGGUUAAGUCCCGCAACGAGCGCAACCCUUAUCCUUUGUUGCCAGCGGUCCGGCCGGGAACUCAAAGGAGACUGCCAGUGAUAAACUGGAGGAAGGUGGGGAUGACGUCAAGUCAUCAUGGCCCUUACGACCAGGGCUACACACGUGCUACAAUGGCAUAUACAAAGAGAAGCGACCUCGCGAGAGCAAGCGGACCUCAUAAAGUAUGUCGUAGUCCGGAUUGGAGUCUGCAACUCGACUCCAUGAAGUCGGAAUCGCUAGUAAUCGUGGAUCAGAAUGCCACGGUGAAUACGUUCCCGGGCCUUGUACACACCGCCCGUCACACCAUGGGAGUGGGUUGCAAAAGAAGUAGGUAGCUUAACCUUCGGGAGGGCGCUUACCACUUUGUGAUUCAUGACUGGGGUGAAGUCGUAACAAGGUAACCGUAGGGGAACCUGCGGUUGGAUCACCUCCUUACCUUAAAGAA
rnacentral:rRNA from 1 species